rnacentral:rRNA from 1 species
GAUGAACGCUGGCGGCGUGCCUAAUACAUGCAAGUCGAGCGAACGGACGAGAAGCUUGCUUCUCUGAUGUUAGCGGCGGACGGGUGAGUAACACGUGGAUAACCUACCUAUAAGACUGGGAUAACUUCGGGAAACCGGAGCUAAUACCGGAUAAUAUUUUGAACCGCAUGGUUCAAAAGUGAAGGACGGUCUUGCUGUCACUUAUAGAUGGAUCCGCGCUGCAUUAGCUAGUUGGUAAGGUAACGGCUUACCAAGGCAACGAUGCAUAGCCGACCUGAGAGGGUGAUCGGCCACACUGGAACUGAGACACGGUCCAGACUCCUACGGGAGGCAGCAGUAGGGAAUCUUCCGCAAUGGGCGAAAGCCUGACGGAGCAACGCCGCGUGAGUGAUGAAGGUCUUCGGACCGUAAAACUCUGUUAUUAGGGAAGAACAUAUGUGUAAGUAACUGUGCACAUCUUGACGGUACCUAAUCAGAAAGCCACGGCUAACUACGUG